AUUGAACGCUGGCGGCAGGCUUAACACAUGCAAGUCGAGCGGGGUGAUGGUGCUUGCACUAUCACUUAGCGGCGGACGGGUGAGUAAUGCUUAGGAAUCUGCCAAUUAGUGGGGGACAACAUCUCGAAAGGGAUGCUAAUACCGCAUACGUCCUACGGGAGAAAGCAGGGGAUCACUUGUGACCUUGCGCUAAUAGAUGAGCCUAAGUCGGAUUAGCUAGUGGGUGGGGUAAAGGCCUACCAAGGCGACGAUCUGUAGCGGGUCUGAGAGGAUGAUCGGCCACACUGGAACUGAGACACGGCCCAGAGUCCUACGGGAGGCAGCAGUGGGGAAUAUUGGACAAUGGGGGGAACCCUGAUCCAGCCAUGCCGCGUGUGUGAAGAAGGCCUUAUGGUCGUAAAGCACUUUAAGCGAGGAGGAGGCUCUUUUGGUUAAUACCCAAGAUGAGUGGACGUUACUCGCAGAAUAAGCACCGGCUAACUCUGUGCCAGCCGCCGCGGUAA
rnacentral:rRNA from 1 species